UAUUUGUUUAAUGUUAAAAUCUGUUAGUAUUUCCUGUAUUGUUGAAUUAAUUCAUCUUCCAUAUUUACCCUUAUCAUCUUCACUCUAUUUUCAUGGAAUUCUUCUAUGGCAGGUUUUAUUUUGAAGGUGAGUUUUCACGAUUUUUGUUCUCCCUGAAAAAUUGGUGUAGUCAAAAGGAGUUUUCUGAGCUGCUGAAGUGAAGCCAAAUUGCAGAUAUCUUUUGGAUCAUAUAAAAAUUCUUCUUACAGCAGUUCAGAAUUAUAGUUAGGAUGUUG